AAGUGGUUGACUAAUUUUAAUUUUUAAUAAAAACACCAGUAAUUAGAAGGUAUAUUAAAGCAGUCCUGUUUGGAGGUUAUGGUUCCAUUACCGUCACAAACUACCACUUUGCAGAUAAUUA